GCCAUUGUAGCUCAGUUGGUAGAGCACCCCCAUGGUAAGGGGGAGGUCGCCGGUUCGAUCCCGGCCGAUGGCU
rnacentral:tRNA from 1 species